rnacentral:tRNA from 1 species
GGGGAGGUCGUUCAACGGUAGGACGCAUGAGGGGCCCGAAGCUGUCUCACUCACUUGACAAGCUGAGGGUGGCAACCGUCCGCCUGUACCAUACCAAACUCAUGAGAUGUGGUGUUCGAUUCCCACCUUCUCCA